AUGUUACUCCCUCGGUCCGGGAAUACUUGUCCUUGAAAUGGUUGUAUCUAGAGUUAUUUUAGUUAUAGAUACAUCCAUUUUAUCCAUUUCUAGGACAAGUAUUUCCGGACGGAGGGGAGUAGGAC
rfam:Triticum aestivum genome assembly, contig: Triticum_aestivum_CS42_TGACv1_scaffold_050370_1BS